rnacentral:rRNA from 1 species
AACGAACGCUGGCGGCUAGGCUUAACACAUGCAAGUCGAACGCUCGUAGCAAUACGGGAGUGGCGGACGGGUGAGUAACGCGUGGGAACGUGCCCUGAGGUACGGAAUAACUGCGGGAAACUGCAGCUAAUACCGUAUGAGCCCCGUGAGGGGGAAAGAUUUAUCGCCUUAGGAGCGGCCCGCGUCGGAUUAGCUAGUUGGUGGGGUAACGGCUUACCAAGGCUUCGAUCCGUAGCUGGUCUGAGAGGACGAUCAGCCACACUGGGACUGAGACACGGCCCAGACUCCUACGGGAGGCAGCAGUGGGGAAUCUUGCGCAAUGGGGGCAACCCUGACGCAGCCAUGCCGCGUGAAUGAUGAAGGCCUUAGGGUUGUAAAGUUCUUUUGCCCGUGACGAUGAUGACGGUAACGGGAGAAUAAGCUCCGGCUAACUUCGUG